CAAGGAAUUUUCCGCAAUGGACGCAAGUCUGACGGAGCAACGCCGCGUGGAGGAUGACGGCCUUCGGGUUGUAAACUCCUUUUGGGGGGGACGAUACUGACGGUACCCUCCGAAUCAGGCUCGGCUAACUCUGUGCCAGCAGCCGCGGUAAGACAGAGGAGCCAAGCGUUGUCCGGAUUUACUGGGCGUAAAGCGCACGCAGGUGGCAUGCCAAGUGGGGUGUGAAAGCCCAUCGCUCAACGAUGGGUCGCCAUCCCAGACUGGCACGCUCGAGCGCUGCAGAGGUCGGUGGAAUUGCCGGUGUAGUGGUGAAAUGCGUAGAGAUCGGCAGGAACACCAAGGGGGAAACCAGCCGACUGGGCAGCAGCUGACACUGAGGUGCGAAAGCGUGGGGAGCGAACUG
rnacentral:rRNA from 1 species